GUGCUCGCUUCUGCAGCACAUAUACUAAUAAAAUUGGAAUAAUAGAGAAGAUUAGCAUGGCCCCUGCGCAAGGAUGACACACAAAUUCGUGAAGCAUUCCGUAUUUUU
rnacentral:snRNA from 1 species